rnacentral:lncRNA from 1 species
AUUCAGUUGAGAGAGAAACUGUCUCUCUGGAGCUGAAGAGGAAAGGAGAGAGAAGUGUGGCUGAAUCUAAGAUCAAUUCCCAAGGCAAUAGCCUGUGAAGAUCCUUUGGCUGUGGUGAGGAUUUAUUUUUCAAUCAUCUGCUGGUCAGGGAUUGAGGAGCUGUCUUCAACUUGGAGGAGUUAUCAUCUGUGGACAUUUCACCUUGGAUUCCUGUUUUGGCUCCCAGAGACUCUAUUAAAGCCAUCCCUUAUGAAAAAGAAUUUUUAA